UUUAUUUUUUUUUCUCCACAUAAGGUUGCAAACUUUUUUCUCUUCUUCCCUCCUCUUCCAACUUCCUCCCUGGUUGACCUGCCAGACAAAUUCCACUUGGAAUGUUGAGUUUUCCUACUUUUCUACUUACAAUACAUGGCAAAUCAGUGAAGGAAAAAACCCACCACCAACUCCACCACUCAUGGCUGAAGCAAAUGUGAGUUUCAUAAAGGCAAAAUGGAUGGUUCUUGAGUACACUUACACAAACAAGUGUGAAUAAAGGCUUUGUACCCAAAUCAUUCAAGUUUAUUCCAGACCUUGUAUUUAAGGUAAAGCAAUAGUUCCAUUUUCUACAUGAAAGGCUCUUGCAUAUGCUGCUGCUGUUAAUCUUACCAGCUGCUUCAGGGCUUUCCUCAAAAUUACCUUAAAUAUCUCUGUCCUUUGCCAAAAUUGUUCACUGAACUAAACCAGGCCAAUAUAAAUAUGUAACUGCAAUAAUUUUACUUCUGAAACCAGUAAAAUUCUAGUGAUACAUACAGCCAAGAUGUAGAGCAAGCUGUCACCACCAUCACUGUCACGUAGUUUUACUUUCAGGAUUUGUGAAGCUUUUUUUUUUUUUUUUGCCUUUUUUUUUUUUUUUUGAAAAUGUGAGUGCAUGAAAGUAAGAGGGGAGUAACAGAAAAUAGCUGCUGUUUAUCUAAGUGUAACUGUAUUAUAGCACAUUAGGAACUGCUACCUGUAGCUGAACUUUUCUGAUAUACAUGAAGUAACAGACUGUCCGAUGGCACUUACAUGGGAACGCAUUACAAGCUUGAAGAACUUUUCUGUGCCAGAUAGCAUCAGAAACUGUUCAAAAUUAAAUCUACACAAAAUUUCAAGACUCAGAAAUCAGUAUUGCUUCGGGGUAGACAAACACCACCAGUAACGGUGACCUGAAAAGUCACCAUUAACUUUUUUUUGGAGGAUGGGUGAAAAUAUUAAUUUCAUUACAUAUACAAAGUCACUUCUGGUAAUUGUAGUCCAGUGAGAGAUACUCCUCUCACACACCUAAUCACUUUUUUUUUUAUAGUGUUGAUGGAUAAAUUCAUGCCUUGGGUGCCCAUGUAAAUUAAAGUUACCCCAUAAAUUUUAACUGAAUUACUGCACAUUCACAGUAGCCAAAGAGCACAACAUGUGCCUAAGGUUUUGUAACAUUCCUACUUCUGUUUCUCCCGUAAGGAGGUAUAACAAAUGCUAUUCCAGGGAUAAAACACAGGUGAGAUUUUAGAAAAAUAUUAAGCAAGAAUACACACAAAUCACACAUGGCCAAAACAAAAUAAUAAAAGUCUUUAGUGGAAAACAAUUUUAUCCUCCUCCUGCUUAUGGAUCUUAAAGAUACACAAAGUGUUCAUUUCAAAAUGGAAAAUUCAGUUGUGUUAAGGCUUGAUCACACAGCCAUUGCCCAAGUCUUAUUGCAACAAAUUGUGAAAUAUUUCUAUGCAACUUCAUAUCUCCAACUGUAUAGGUAAAACAACGCUUGAAAUCAACUAGCACUUCAAUCCCUGCAUUUUUAAUAUAUAAACUCAACAUAGUACUGAAUUAUACAUUUAAAAUAUUUACACACUUGACCAACAGCAGUACUAGCAUUUAUUGCCUUAAAACUGCAUGUUCACCGCACGAAGGUUCCUUAUUUUGACCAACGGGAACAAAUAAAAGAGGAUAAUAUUUUUUUCCCGAUUAUAAACUCUAGUAUGGUUCAACGGGAGAUUGAAAUGUGCCGGGGAAUGCUAUUAGGAAGGACUUUAUCAAUUUCAAGUAUCAAGCUGUAAUAGACUGGAAAAUCACAAGUAGUAUCUUUCCCUUGAGGUUGGAAGUCUUCCAAAUCUUUUAUAAGAAUGGCUUAAACGGACAGAAAAAGCAGCAUAGGGAAAGGGAAGAAAUGGAAAAGCAGAAUCUACUUCAAUUCACUGAGGAGAAGGGAAAGCCAGGGAUAUCUUAUUUCUCCAUUGCUAGGGCCCCAAGAAAUCUCGUACUUAAAAAAGGGUUUUGUAAGACAGCCAAGAGCUUAAGGCUCUAAAGCAAAUCACACUUCAUGAUUUGCUUCCUGAUUAGUGCUAGAAAGCAUUAAUCUCAUUUACUGCAAAGAGGGCACUAUCUACUCGUAUUAAAAGCAAACUGAUGGGGGGACAGAGCUGGCUCUUUACUUUUUAAUUGUUAUCAUUAGGCUUUGGUUAUACUGAGCGACUGGAACAGAUAUGGGAGAAAUGAGUGGCUCUUUGCAGAAAAAUGUAAAAAAAUAAACCAAAUUAAACAAAAAACCUACCACCACAAGUGGCACUUGUCACAAGUAGAGGCACCAAAGCCUGAACAACAACUGUCCUCUCACUAUGUAGACCAGAACUGAGGGACACUGGUGGGGAAUCUUAUUUAAGAAGCCACCAUUUCAAUCAGCUGUAAUUGAAAUAACUACAAUUUACAGUAAGCAUUACUGUACUGCAGUAGACCAGUCCUGGGCAAUACUGCACCACUGCUGCCUCUACGGGGCUUUGUAAGUAUGAAAAUCUUCUGUUUUCGUUACAGUAAAUCUUACACCUCACAAAACUAAAAUUAAAAUAUUUAAUAUUUACAUAGCAUCUCAGAUCCUCAAUGCAUUUUAUAGGCAUAAGCUAAUCCUCACAACAUCCCUGUGAGGUAGGUAGGUAUUACCACUAUUGUAACAAUGACAGUUCUAGCAACUUGCCAAAAUGGCCACAGAGGAUCCAGUGGAAAAACAUACAAAAUUAGAGGAGCCUGGCUCCUACUCCUGCGCUUAUAUUCAUCAAGCUACUUCCAUAAAAAACACCCCUUUGUAUGUAUUUAACCAAAACUGAAAUUACUUGAAGUGUUUUACAAGAAAAAUGCUGCUAGUUGUAUUUUUUACAGAUCACAAAUUAGAAUUUGCUUUACCUUUUAAAGAAUUAGAUUUUAAAUGGACAACGGACUGCUCUGAGCAAGCUUAUUUUCUAGAACUACAUGGCUUAAAGGGAUUUACCCAAGUAAACACUGGGGCUUUAGCGAGUGCUACACACUAUCAAAGAGAUGACUGAUUCAAACCCCUCUCUUUCAACUACUUGGAUUUGGACACACUGAGAGAACAAGUUUCUCGUUCCUGAGGAAAAUGGUGAGCCCUUUAUCACUAAACAGUGAAACACAAACCUCUGGGCAAUAGUUAGCAGAUUCCAGCAGUAAUUCAGUGAAGAUACUUAAGGCAUAAAUGCACAUGGAAGUUUUGUGUAGUAGCCAACUUCUCCCGGUCCACGUGUAUCUGUGCUUUCAAGAAGGUCUUGAAUUUCAUGACCCAACCCAACGGUUCAUGCUUGCCAACAGCAAACAUUACUAAGUUGAACAACAGAAAAUUGUUACACCAGCAUUGGAUCUAGCUAUUACAAUGGGGAAGGAGCUGGCAAAAAAAGAAGCUACUUGAUUUCUAGUCUCAGAAUGGAAACACUGGAGCAAUGUGUUUUAGCAAAAAACCAAAAAACCAAAAAAAUUCUAGACAAAUGUAUGUUACAAUUUGUAACAAUUUGUUACAACUGUAUCAUGCAGCAUUUACAAUUCAGUUUGAGUUGCCCUUUUUUUUUUUUCCCUUCAAAACCAGGUGCAUUUUUAGAACCAUUCUUCACUUUGUACAGUGAAUGGAAAAACCAAUGCAGUGAUGCUAUAAAAAUUUCAGAACACUUCCAUGAAGCCAAAUCUCAAUGUUCACUAAAAAUGGUCUAUGAGUAUUUCCUAUGGACUUGAAUGAGCUUUUGCAUCUCAACUUACAGCUGGGCAUGUAGAAGUAAUUUUUUUCUUUUUUUUUUUUUUUUUCUGUAAGGGAUAUAAAAGUCCCUUA
rnacentral:lncRNA from 1 species